GUGCCAUUUGGGACAGGGCAAUACACUUGGGGCACCAAUUUAUUUUUAUUUUUUUUUACCAAUACUACUUCAAUACUAUGAAUUCAAAAUAUUAUGAAAAAGCGAUCGUCCCACAAAAAUAUAACUAUUUUAUUUCUCUCCCGACUCACCCCUGACGCAUGAUCAACAUUUCCCCGCACAGCCGCACUUACAAAUGCAUCCGUUACCGGAUUGUGAUAGAUGUACACUAAUAAAUUAUCACUGUAUCAAAAAGACCGAAGCCCUCUGGUGCCCAGGGAAGAAUAAAAAAGAAAAGAAGAAGAAGAAAAAACGGGACAAAGACAGAGAUGGCGCACGGAAUAUAGAUAUUGUAAUACCAAGUGGGCUCUGCAUGGGAAACCUGGUUGCGUGCUGCACUCUAGAGGGAACAUUCAGCAUCAUUCCUCAGUUUUGCACAGGAUGACAGCUUUAAGAAACAUACUGUAGAAGGCCAGCACACGCCUAUGGAAACCCUAACGAAAUUGCAGUCCAAAGAGGCUGAAGGGGUCAGCAGACUCCCUGGGCAAAGGUUGUCAUGGGAACGACCCCUGGAUCCUUCAGUCUGCUAUUUCGUGGCCCCCGUUCAUCUUGAGGCAGAAUGAUCCAGAUUCUUACAGGUGUUAAGGGUUCGGCAUCAUGGGUCGUUAGUGACGGUCAUGAUACUGCUGAGAUGUUUCCCUCCAUCCUCCCCACAACCACCAGGAUGGCCCCGUACAUGCGGGGGUAUGCUCCGCCCUGCCUUUGUCUUCGGCAGGAAUAACUGGAAUCUACAACGUCUGAUUAAAGCUACAGAUGGGGUCUACGGCAAAAUGAUUCUGUUCUUUGUAUUGGUUUUGUAAAUAAAUACUUUUGCGUUUUAUCUUCACCUCCUGAGUCUUUCUGGUAGAACAUUGAUUCUGAACUUAAAAUGUGGGAUUUUGCAUAUGUGUGUCAUGGCUGAAAAUAAUUGAUUUAAAGUUGAUUUUUGAGGCAUGAUACAUGAGUACUUAAGAUGAUUUUUUUUCUCCAUGAAGUGUUUUUUUUUCUUCUUAAAUCCAGCUUGAAUAAAUAAUAAUAUUAUUUACUGUUGCCAAAAGUUUAAUUAUUUAUUGAAGAUAUUUAUUAAAGAAACCUAUCUUUUAGACUACAUCUGACAAACUAGAAAGUCAAGAAUGCAAUUGAAGAGAGAAGUGUAACUCCUCACCCCUAGGUGGCACUGUUGAAGCAAUUUGCACCUUUAUUUUUUCAGAGGCGUCAAGGUUACACAUUACUUAUUUGAACAGAUUCCGUUUAUGAGUAAUGUGUUAAUCCUUUGGGCCCAACUUUCAG
ensembl:lncRNA